CCAAACUCGGGCACGCUGGCCAACGGCGCGUGUUGGGCCAGCCAGCGGCGCCGGCACGCCAUCGCCACGCCCGCCGGUGGCGAUGCCACCUGCAGGUAGGCAUCAAAGGCGGCUUCGAGUGCCAAUGACGGCAGGCAGCCGGGGAAUGCCAGAACCGUGGGUCCCAUUGUCCCUGCCGGUGUGCAUAGGGUCGUUGUCCUAUCAACCUGGAUACCGUUCGUGCCUCUGCCGCACGUGGCCAUUCCUUUUUUUAGGCGCACUACCGAGAUCGCCCACCGGUCCGGUUGUCUCGGCCCCCCGUUGGCGGUGUUUGGAGAUCGCCCGACGAUCGCGCCCGCCCUAUGGAAAAAACCCCAACACCAACAAAAACGGGCGGCGGGACCCGAGGCGGCGUUUCUCGCAAUCGACGCAAAAUCGCGCGCCGUCGCCGGCGGCUCCGACGUCUGCACAUCUUUUUUUUGUUUUUUCCCCGCCGCUCGCUCCUCUGCCAAGCAAGGCGACGGAAGGAGAAAAAAAAGGGUGGCCGUGGCGAUGGCACGUUGGAUGCUGUCGUCGGCGCGGGCCCGCUUUUGCCCAUCCCGCCCCGUCGCCUCAAAAAGCCCUUGUGCGGUGCCAACUACGACAGAAGCGGCGCAGGCAAAGCCCUCAAGGCUCAGCAUUACCCAAACUGCGGUCUUGUUUUUAAAACAGCGUGAAUCAACCAACAUAAUCGCCGA
rnacentral:lncRNA from 1 species